GAAUAUUGGACAAUGGGGGCAACCCUGAUCCAGCCAUGCCGCGUGUGUGAAGAAGGCUUUCGGGUUGUAAAGCACUUUCAGUGGGGAAGAAGGCCUUGGGCUUAAUACGCUUGAGGAAGGCCAUCACCCCCAGAAGAAGCACCGGCUAAUUCCGUGCCAGCAGCCGCGGUAAUACGGCGGGUGCGAGCGUUAAUCGGAAGUACUGGGCGUAAAGCGCGCGUAGGCGGCUAAGUAAGCCGGGUGUGAAAGCCCCGGGCUCAACCUGGGAACGGCAUCCGGAACUGUUUAGCUAGAGUGCAGGAGAGGAAGGUAGAAUUCCCGGUGUAGCGGUGAAAUGCGUAGAGAUCGGGAGGAAUACCAGUGGCGAAGGCGGCCUUCUGGACUGACACUGACGCUGAGGUGCGAAAGCGUGGGUAGCAAACAGG
rnacentral:rRNA from 1 species